AUUGAACGCUGGCGGCAGGCCUAACACAUGCAAGUCGAGCGGGGUUUUCGGACCUAGCGGCGGACGGGUGAGUAAUGCGUAGGAAGCUGCCCGAUAGAGGGGGAUACCAGUUGGAAACGACUGUUAAUACCGCAUAAUGUCUACGGACCAAAGUGUGGGACCUUCGGGCCACAUGCUAUCGGAUGCGCCUACGUGGGAUUAGCUAGUUGGUGAGGUAAUGGCUCACCAAGGCGACGAUCUCUAGCUGGUUUGAGAGGAUGAACAGCCACACUGGAACUGAGACACGGUCCAGACUCCUACGGGAGGCAGCAGUGGGGAAUAUUGGACAAUGGGCGCAAGCCUGAUCCAGCCAUGCCGCAUGUGUGAAGAAGGCCUUCGGGUUGUAAAGCACUUUCAGCGAGGAGGAAGGGUGGUGUGUUAAUAGCACAUCAUUUUGACGUUACUCGCAGAAGAAGCACCGGCUAACUCUGUGCCAGCCGCCGCCGUAAUAC
rnacentral:rRNA from 1 species